UACCCGCAGCACAAGUGGUGGUCAUUAUUAUUGGGCCUAAAGCGUCCGUAGCUGGCGUGUUAGAUGCCUGGGUAAAUCGAUGCGCUCAACGUAUCGAAUUCCGGGUAGACCGGCACGCUCGAGACCGGGAGAGGUGUAGGGUACUCGGGGGGUAGGGGUAAAAUCCUGUAAUCCUCCGGGGACGAUCAGUGGCGAAGGCGCUACACUAGAACGGCUCUGACAGUGAGGGACGAAGCCCUGGGGCGCAAACCGG
rnacentral:rRNA from 1 species